rnacentral:rRNA from 1 species
GGGUAGAGUAAUGCGUGACCAACCUGCCCCAUGCUCCAGAAUAGCUCUUGGAAACGGGUGGUAAUGCUGGAUGCUCCAACUUGACGCAUGUCUUGUUGGGAAAGUGUUUAGUGGCAUGGGAUGGGGUCGCGUCCUAUCAGCUUGUAGGCGGGGUAAUGGCCCACCUAGGCUUCGACGGGUAGCCGGCCUGAGAGGGCGGACGGCCACAUUGGGACUGAGAUACGGCCCAGACUCCUACAGGAGGCAGCAGCU